rnacentral:rRNA from 1 species
UACGUAGGGGGCAAGCGUUGUCCGGAAUCAUUGGGCGUAAAGAGCGCGUAGGCGGUCCGGUAAGUCCGCUCUGAAAGCCCGGGGCUCAACCCCGGGAGGCGGGCGGAUACUGUCGGGCUAGAGUCCGGAAGAGGCGAGUGGAAUUCCUGGUGUAGCGGUGAAAUGCGCAGAUAUCAGGAGGAACACCGGUGGCGAAGGCGGGUCUCUGGGCCGUAACUGACGCUGAGGAGCGAAAGCAUGGGGAGCGAACAGG